AUGCGUCCUUCAUCACCAGAUCUGGAAGUUCAAAGCACCCAAGUGAAGAAGAGUACUGAGACAAAACGAUUAAGAGAACAAAGGGAUUCGGAGAAAGUUAUCUGUGAAAAGUUAAGAGAGGAAAAUAUGAGAAGUGAAUCUCAACAGUCAAGUACUUCUAACAAAAUAAGUAUCCUUGAUUCACGUGACACCACUAAGACCAUGUGCAAUGGGUAUGUUGAGUUUGAACUCAACAUGCAAAAUCUCCUCCAAUGGGUGUUGAGAGAGGUGUUGAGUGUGUGUUGGAAGAGAGAGGUGUUGAGAAAACUCAACACAAUUGAAGCUGCCACGUGGCUGUGCUUGAUUGGCUGA